UCCUUCUCCUGCUCUUGCCUGAUCCCACACUAGCCAAAUGCUGUUCCAGACUUGGGCUGCUCCUGCCUCAGCCACCCACCUGUUGAUUGUGAUAACUGGGAAUGACUUGUUCAGCUUCACAAAUAAGUUGGAGAAAGCGUUUCAGAAAUUUGGAAUCUAAGGGCACAGGCAGAAGACUGCUCAUAUGACAUUUGUGAGCUAGGGAACAUGAAUAGCUCUUCUGGAAACCACUUGAUCUGAGGCACACAUUGACUCAGAAUCUCCCACUUUGUUCUAGAUUAUAUUUAAUAGGCCAGGAGGCCAUAGCAAUUUUCUACAGUUACUUUUAUUACCUCAAUUUGCAUAUCAUCAUUCACUGAACUGUGAAAGCAUCAUCAUGAUGCUCAGGGGUUAGGAACCUGGAUGCAGUGGGACCAACAUGAUGCUAUCUGCAGAUGAAUAGGGGUGGUAUUUGCAGAAUCUACAUUUAGAAACAUCUAAUUGCAAAUGAACUUGUUGCUUAUACGGAAAGAAACAGAAGAGAUGUGUCUUCACACAACUAGAGGACAGACAUGAAAUUAUAAAAUGAUCUCCUAGCACACCAUGUAGAAAUCAAAUUCCAUUCAUUUGACAAAUUAAAGAAAUGUCCUGUACUUAUGCCAAAGUAUUGAGCUCCUCAAGAGGCUCAAGGAAACCACAGGCAGAAUAUGCUCCAGAAGACUGUCUGGCAUAACUUUGACAAACUGAAAAUAUAUUCAGGAAGUAUACACACCAUAUUACAUAUUGAGUUUGUGUUGCACUGCAUUGUUAUUUCACAGAUGUAAUUUAAACUGCCUUGUAUCAAUGACUGAAUAUAAUUUGUCAAUAGAGCAGUAUUUUAGUUGAAACUCAACAGUGAACAUAAUUAUUUGUUAAGAUGCAAAGUUGCAUAUUCUCUUUUCUGAGGAUAUUCUGCUUCCUCUAGGCAGUUUGCUGUUUUCUCUGGAACUAUCCAUUUUGGCUAAGCUUGAUGAUUUAUACACAGCCAUGCACAGGGUCAUUGCAGAGUCAGACUUCUCUUUGAGGAACUCUAAGACCUCUUGAACCUCAGAAAGGUCCAAUCCUUCCUUGAACAGCCAAGUGCAGGAGUAUUGUGCAGGCUGCAUCUUCCUUUAGGGAUGAUGUGCGCUGCUUCUCCAUCUGUGUGGCUAGCUUAUUGUACAGCUGAUGCAAAAUGGAUUGCAGCCAUGUCCCUAUUUCUCCCUGCCCCAAGUGUUCAAGGGCCAGGCACAACA